rnacentral:lncRNA from 1 species
AAUACCAAAGUAUUAAGGAUAGCUGGUUGCAGUAGCGCACACCUGUAAUCCCAGCAGCUUGGGAGGCUGAGGCACGAGGAUCAUGGGGUAAAAGCCAGCCUCAGUAACUUAGCAAGGCCCUAAGCAACUCAGUGAGACCCUGUCUCUAAAUAAAGUACAAAAUAGGGCUGGGGAUGUGACUCAGUGGUUGAAUGCCCCUGAAUUCAAUCCUGAGUACUACUCCCCCCACCCCCCGCAAAAAAAGGGCUGGGUAUGUGGCUCAGUGGUUAAGUGCCUAUGGGUUCAAUACCUGGUACAAAAUAAAUGAAUGCUUGCAUGCACAAGGCCCUGGGUUCAAUCCCUAGCACCACAAAACAAAACAACAACAACAACAAAAAACAAACAAAUAAACAACAACAACAACAAACCAAACAAAAUGAAUGAAUGAAUGAAUGAAUGAAUAAAUGAAUAAAUAAAUGUGAAUAAAGUUUCUGUCCUUGAGCUUACAUGCUGAGGAGGGAGAAUGACAUAGGAACACAUAAUACUGAUGGUCAGUAUAGCUAGAUGUAUCAAAUGUGUUUUGACUUAAAAUAUUUCCAACUUGCUGUCGAUUUAUUGAGAUGUAACCUCAUUGUGAGUUGAGGAGCAUCUGUAUAGUACAACAUGUUGCAUAUUAUAAUUUCAGUGGUACAAUGCUAUAAAGACACCAGAGGAAAUAUGUG